GACGAACGCUGGCGGCGUGCUUAACACAUGCAAGUCGAGCGGAAAGGCCCUUUCGGGGGUACUCGAGCGGCGAACGGGUGAGUAACACGUGAGUAAUCUGCCCCUGGCUUUGGGAUAGCCACCGGAAACGGUGAUUAAUACCGGAUACGACCACUUCUCGCAUGGGAUGGUGGUGGAAAGUUUUUCGGCCAGGGAUGUGCUCGCGGCCUAUCAGCUUGAUGGUGAGGUAAUGGCUCACCAUGGCUUCGACGGGUAGCCGGCCUGAGAGGGUGACCGGUCACACUGGGAUUGAGACACGGCCCAGACUCCUACGGGAGGCAGCAGUGGGGAAUAUUGGACAAUGGGCGGAAGCCUGAUCCAGCAACGCCACGUGAGGGAUGACGGCCUUCGGGUUGUAAACCUCUUUCAGCAGGGACGAAGCGCAAGUGACGGUACCUGCAGAAGAAGCACCGGCCAACUACGUGCCAGCAGCCGCAGUAA
rnacentral:rRNA from 1 species